rnacentral:misc_RNA from 1 species
GCGAAAUGCGAUAAGUAAUGUGAAUUGCAGAAUUCAGUGAAUCAUCGAAUCUUUGAACGCACAUUGCGCUCUUUGGUAUUCCGAAGAGCACGCCUGUUUGAGUAUCGAAAAAACCAUCACGACUUGGUCCUGGAGUUCGCUCCGGUUGACUUUGAGACGUGGAGUUGGGCAUUGCCUGCUUUCCCUAGCAGGUUGCCUUAAAUGUGAGCGUUGGAAGCCGGAUCUCCUCUACUGGGAUCGCUGCCCGAAAUGUACUGAAUUGAGGUCUCCGCAAGGGGAUAUCUUCAUUUUUCUUUCUUGCAGUUUUCAGAGCCCGGUGGCGAACUGGUCGACCAAUUCACCCACUACCACACACGAGGGGUCGAGAGCGAGCCGCUCAUCGAUUCGUCGAACACUUGGUCUCAAAUCAGGCGGGAAAACCCGCUGAACUUAA